AGACGAAGGUGGCUAGCGUUGUUCGGUAUUACUGGGCUUAAAGCGUGUGUAGGCGGAAUAGUAAGCGUUUUGUGAAAUCCCUCGGCUUAACCGAGGAAUUGCUUGGCGAACUGCUAUUCUUGAGGCAAGUAGGGGUGCACGGAACUCUUGGUGGAGCGGUGGAAUGCGUAGAUAUCAAGAGGAACGCCAGUGGUGAAGACGGUGCACUGGGCUUGUCCUGACGCUGAGACACGAAAGCGUGGGGAGCGAACGGGAUUAGAUACCCCGGUAGUCCACGCUGUAAACGAUGUCUACUAGGUUGUGGGAGUUCUGACGCUGUCACGGCCGAAGCAAAAGUGCUAAGUAGACCGCCUGGGGAGUACGAUCGCAAGGUUAAA
rnacentral:rRNA from 1 species